rnacentral:rRNA from 1 species
AUUGAACGCUGGCGGCAGGCUUAACACAUGCAAGUCGAACGGUAACAGGGAGAAACUUGUUUCUCUGCUGACGAGUGGCGGACGGGUGAGUAAUGCUUGGGAAUCUGCCUUAUGGAGGGGGAUAACCACUGGAAACGGUGGCUAAUACCGCGUAAUAUCUUCGGAUUAAAGUGUGGGACUUUCGAGCCACACGCCAUAAGAUGAGCCCAAGUGAGAUUAGGUUGUUGGUGAGGUAAUGGCUCACCAAGCUUACGAUCUCUAGCUGGUCUGAGAGGAUGACCAGCCACACUGGGACUGAGACACGGCCCAGACUCCUACGGGAGGCAGCAGUGGGGAAUAUUGCACAAUGGGCGCAAGCCUGAUGCAGCCAUGCCGCGUGAAUGAAGAAGGCCUUCGGGUUGUAAAGUUCUUUCGGUGGUGAGGAAGGUUGUAAUGUUAAUAGCAUUAUAAUUUGACGUUAGCCACAGAAGAAGCACCGGCUAACUCCGUGCCAGCAGCCGCGGUAAUACGGAGGGUGCGAGCGUUAAUCGGAAUAACUGGGCGUAAAGGGCACGCAGGCGGAUACUUAAGUGAGGUGUGAAAGCCCUGGGCUUAACCUAGGAAUUGCAUUUCAUACUGGGUAUCUAGAGUAUUUUAGGGAGGGGUAGAAUUCCACGUGUAGCGGUGAAAUGCGUAGAGAUGUGGAGGAAUACCGAAGGCGAAGGCAGCCCCUUGGGGGAAUACUGACGCUCAUGUGCGAAAGCGUGGGGAGCAAACAGG